GCGGCCGUUCGGAGCGGGGAACGAUGAAGGACCGCACCGGGGAGCUGCGCGCCGCGAAGGACAGUGAUGACGAUGAUGAAGUCACCGUCAGCGUGGACAGAGAUCGCUUCAUGGAUGAGUUCUUUGAACAGGUGGAAGAAAUACGAGGGUUCAUCGAUAAAAUCUCAGAGAACGUGGAGGAAGUGAAGAGGAAGCACAGUGCCAUUCUUGCUUCACCCAACCCUGAUGAGAAAACAAAGGAGGAGCUGGAAGAGCUCAUGUCAGACAUCAAAAAGACAGCGAACAAAGUGCGCUCCAAGCUAAAGAGUAUUGAGCAGAGUAUCGAACAAGAGGAAGGACUGAACAGGUCAUCCGCCGACCUGAGGAUAAGGAAAACUCAGCACUCAACGCUGUCACGCAAGUUCGUGGAGGUGAUGUCCGAAUACAACGCCACGCAGACCGACUACCGGGAGCGCUGCAAGGGCAGGAUCCAACGGCAGCUGGAGAUCACUGGCAGGACCACCACCAGCGAGGAGCUGGAGGACAUGCUGGAGAGUGGCAACCCGGCAAUCUUCUCCUCUGGGAUCAUUAUGGAUUCCAACAUCACCAAGCAGGCUCUGAACGAGAUCGAGACGCGACACAGUGAGAUCAUCAAACUGGAGAACAGCAUCCGAGAGCUGCAUGACAUGUUCAUGGACAUGGCCAUGCUGGUGGAGAGCCAGGGCCAGGGAUGGGCAGGGCGAUGGCUGCACGGUGCGGGAGAGCGGCGAGGAAGGAAGAAGCUCAUAUCUGCAUGCACGGGCGGGUGGGCUCUGUCCCUGCUCUGCAGGGUGAGAUGAUCGACCGCAUCGAGUACAACGUGGAACACUCUGUGGACUAUGUGGAGCGAGCUGUGUCCGACACCAAAAAAGCAGUGAAGUACCAGAGCAAAGCCAGACGGAAGAAGAUCAUGAUCAUUAUCUGCUGCGUGAUCCUGGGCAUCGUCAUCGCCUCCACCUUCGGCGGCAUUUUCGGCUAGACUCCCCCGACAGGACUGCUUGUGUGUGACGGACGGAGCUGCGCGUGUUGUGGGGCCGGAGCGAACCACGCAGCCCCGGAGCCCCCCAGCAGCAUUUCAGUUUCUAAUGCAUGGUUGUUUGUGAUGCUGUGUGUGCGGUGCGGUGCAUCUGUGUGGAGGGAGCGCCGGCCCCGGGGCGCAGAUGGGGUGCAGGGGAUAGUGAUGGGUGCGAGGGGGACCUUCAGGGCAACCCGAGCUCUCAUCACUGCUCAGCGUGGGAGGCUGCCGGGAGCAGGGAACGGAGGUACCUUUGGGCACUGUGCCAGGCCAGGAGCCUGUCGGUGACACCCAGAGAUGAGACCAACACGGGGUGUUACAGGCUCCUCAGGAGCACAGAGCCCAGUCAGCCUUCCCCCAGCUUUUCCCAUCACCUCCAGCCAAAUCACCUGUCACCUCUCACCUUCCCAUCACCUGUCGGCCGCAUCUGUGCUUGCAAACCACUUUCAUUAGGUUGCUUCUCAUCCAGGGCGCUUCCCAGGGCUGUGCUCUGCCAGGCCCUCCAUCCCCGCCGCUCCGCUGCAGGUGCCCGGUGCUGCUGCUGGGUGUGCUGCUGCUGCCGGUGGGUGCUGCACGGUGGGUGGCUCUGUUCCAACCCUGCCCAGUGGAGCAGCGUGGGGUGAGGAGCUGCUGCUGAAGCCUGGGGAUGGGGACAGCUGCAUGGGCUCAGUGCUGCAGCUCAGUACCGGGCUGGCAGAGCAAGAGGUCACAGGGACUUUAAGGGCAGCGAGUUCCACUGGCUGCUUGCCCUGCUCCACAUCCUUGUUCUUUUCUCAGCUCCGGCACACGGUGACCCCAGCUUUUACCACCCCCAGGCCCGGGCUCUGGUUGUCAGUGUUAGAUCGCUCUGACACCCACAGCCCCAGUGGUGCUCACUGGGAGCCAGGCUGUGCCCAGUGCAGCACCUCCACACAGCGCCCUCGGGCUGGGGGCUGGAGGCAGGAGGGCUUGCUCCUGUCACAGUCCCAGGGAGCAGCCCUUGUUGAAUCCACCCCCCACAAACUAGGAGCAGCAACCUUCCUCCCCCUCAUUUUCUUCCUCCUUUGUGCCACCAGCUCCUGAGCAGGGCAGUGCCUGGCUGCUCCUUCCAAGUCUGCCACAUCUUAGCAUCUGCCUGCCACCUUGUCCUGGGACAGUGCCCUGCUGCCUGCCCUUCCCCAGGCCACCCGGUGAGAUGCCACACACCUGUGGGUUGCAGCCACGUGCUGCCCGCUGCGGCAGAGGGGCCUGCAUUGCCACUGGGCUGUCAUCUCCAUGCUCCUGCCUCAGGACGGUUGCAGGGCUCUGCCCUCAUGUUCCUCAGGGGACUGCAGUGCUGUGGCUUGCUCAUGAAGUGCCAAAGCACCGUGGAGGAGCUUCAGCAGGGCAGGUGCCUGGUGCCAAGCUUGCAGUCAUGCACUGCGGCGGAGGUUGGACGUGAGCUCAGGCGCUGAUAGCAUAAAAGGGGCACUGUGGCGGCACACACAGCUGCAGGUGGAAUGCUGUUUCCCCACUUCAGCCAGGGCCAGAUGAGUGCACCCAGCUUCCGCAUUCCCCAAGGCCUGAGGGGUUCGAGCUGCACUGCAGGGUGAGGGCAGACCUUGCUGGAGCUGAGCCCUGCUCCCACGCACCUCCAUCCUGUCUGGUGCUGCAGUGCUGGCACCAGCCUCGCGCAGUGUGCUGUCAGAUGGAAGGUGCAGGCCGUUGGCCAUAGCUAGGAUGCAGUGCUCCCUGCCACCAUCACCAAAGGUCCCACCACGUGGCCCCUGCUUGCAUUUGGCUGCUGAUGGGGACCGUGUCCAGCCUGACCCCCCGUACUGCCCAGCCCAAACCCCCAGCAGCUGUGGCUGUCAGACCAUCCAAGACUGGAGCCCCCUUCUUUCACAGUCCUGUGGUAACUGGUGUGAGCUCCAGCGCUGCAGCCUGCGUGGGCAUGAGGGUCUGGAGCACUGGGAUUGCUGCCAGCUGGGGCAGAGUGGGUGUGAAGCUCCCCUCCAGGGUGGGAGUUCGGCAUGGGCACAGCCUUUGCUUUGUAGGCAUGUCUGGCAACGGGGGACGGAGCUGGGGCUGACAUGCAAGUUCCUGCUCCUGCAGUUUGCACUCUGCCACGUCAAGCGAUGGAGAGCACCAGGCCCCCCACGGGAAGCAAUAACACUACUGCUGGUAACACUGCUCUUAGGCAGGCAGGCAAGAAAGUUCGUCUCAGGCUCCCCCCGCAGCAAUGCCCACUGCUAGCACAAGGGGGUACUUUUCUUCCAACAUGUGGUUCCUGUGGCACAAGCUCACAUGACAUCAGGGCUGCAGCCUGCCCCAGCAAAGGCACGAGGCCCAGAAUAGUGCUGGGGGGAACUGACACUUGUUCCUUGUGAGCACUGCCACUGUGGAGCCGAUUCUGCCACUGGCACAUCACUGGGUUUGUGCAGGCAGCAGUGGCUGCAGGCUCUGACGUGAGGGAGGCAGAGAAGCACACUGCCAUCGCUGCCCCGCAGGCUGUCUCGCACUGCCCUCACUGUGAGGGGAGGGUGUUCUGGUGCAAUAAUUACCCCUGCACUAUGGGAAGCCCCGUUCAGUUCCUUUUUACCUGCCUGUCAUUGCAUGUACAGACCAAAUCACCAACAGCGUGGUUGUGCUUUGGGGAAAUAUUUCAUUUUUUCUUUGUAACCUCCAACCUCAGCCCACUUGUCCUUUGGGUUCCACCACCUCUGUUCUAAGUGCCACCUGCCCUCCCAGCGCCGGGAGCAUGUCAAUGCAGUAUUUUACGAGCAGUGUGGGGCACACACAGCUUGCACUUGAACUGAGGAUUGUUUUGGGUUUUUUUUUUUUUAGGUUUUUUUUUCUGUUGUUGUUGUUGUUUUGUUUUUUUUUUUUUUUUUAGUAAGUAACGUACUUGAAGGCUUUCCGAGCCCCCUGUGGAGUUGUACUGUUGCUGUACUGUGAGCUAAGUGUCCUUGUUUUCUAUGUGGAUCUUGACCCUGGCUUGCUCUGUCUCACUGGGCUGGAUGACACUGUAUUGUUGCCUCUUAUCUCCUUCACCCUUUCCCCCCUUUCCCACUCUGCUGGCCUGCCUUUCUUCUCCCAAAAGCUUUGGGUGCAAAACAGCUUCCCAUUUUGUGGAAUUUUUAUGUAGAAUAAACAUUUGUAACUGUA